GUAUCAAAAGUUUUAAAAAAAGACCAUGUCAAAAUUGAGUUUCCUAAAGUUUCAUGGUAGCUUUUCAGCCAAGCCAACAUCUCCGCGAAAAAAUAUAGCUCAAAAGAACAGCUUCAAGUUGAGAGAGACAUCGAGUACCGAAAUGAGUUUCCAACCAAAGAAAGAUGAAAUGAAAUGGGUGUUUGAGAAAUUUGACACAAACAAAGAUGGCAAGAUUAGUCUGGAAGAGUAUAAAGCAGCUGCAAAAUCUUUGGAUAAGGGGAUUGGGGAUCCUGAUGCAGUGAAAGCAUUUAACGUGAUGGACUCUGACAAAGAUGGCUUCAUAGACUUUAAAGAGUUCAUGGAAAUGUUCAAUGGAGAAAACAAUAAGAUAAAAGAAGAGGAGAUUAAGAGUGCUUUUCAAGUAUUUGAUAUAAAUGGAGAUGGGAAAAUCAGUGCUGAGGAAUUGUCUCAAAUAUUUAAGAGGUUAGGAGAGAGUUGCAGCCUUAGUGCUUGUAAGAAAAUGGUGAAAGGUGUCGAUGGUGAUGGAGAUGGUCUUAUUGAUUUGAAUGAGUUUACAAGAAUGAUGAUGAAUGGCAAGAAAUGUGCCUAAGUCAUCAUACUUUUCCGGUUUGGAGGAGCAUAAUCUGGUUUAAUGUUUCUCAAGUUUAUGUCUAUCUUAAAUAUAUCUAGUUUUUUUGUUUAUUAGUUUUGUUUUUCUUUUAUGAGUGAUGAAUAAAUUUUUUUGGUUAAAUGCUUGGUGAUUUUCAUUCUUUGAUAGUUACUCGUUUCUUGUUUUGAUACAAAUAUAUUCAAUGUUAUUCUGUCAAAUUCCUGAUGACACUCAAAUGCGUCUCCAAACCCUGGAAUUGACUUAUUUCCUGAGAUCGCAAGUUCCGCAGAAAACACACACCUUCUCAGCUCAAGAAUGAACCCCAAACUCAUUCUAACCGACAGAUGCAUACCAGAUUAUCCUCUCGGUUUAUUCUUCACUUAUGAGAAUGGUUGCCUCUUGCGAUGGUAUCCUUUGUUUAAACCUAAUAAACGAUUAUAGCACUGAAACCAAACUUUAUUCACUUUGUUUUGUGGGAUUGCUUGUGCAUCCUUGCUGGAUUUGUUGGUUUCCGAUAUUUGUGCAUUAAAUUCAACUGCAACUUUAUGUCAAACUUCGGUUCCUGUUAUGUUUUGUAUGUUUUUACUUUAUCAAUCGAUAUGUCCAACAUGGAAAACUGUUGUGUUUGUUUCAUUUAUCUGUUUGUUAGAGUUAUUUGUUCCUUCGUUGUGCAUUACAUUUUAUACAACCUACAAUCAUGCAUUGCAUUAGAUGGUGAGUGGUUUGGUUUUCUAAGAUUGGAAUAUGUAUUUAGAUGUUUACUAACUCAAUAUUAUGUUUGUUAGCGUAUCUGCUACCUGCUGCACAAAUCCUGUUGUGGCAGUGGUUAGAACUUAGAACUCAAUCAGAACCUCGUCUAAGUCUUGCUUGGUCAUCACAAUAUAUCAUAUCGAUUCCCUAGGCUCCCUCCCUUUCUUCAUUUCAUCAUCUGCUUUGACAUUAUUACUAAUCGUUUUCAUGUCGGUCAGUUGAAUCUCACCUCUCUAUAUCUCGAUACUCAUCUGUUUAGUGGGUCUAUGGUCUUCCAAAGUUAGGAAGGAUGAAAAGUGUGACUCUAUGAAACUUAUUUCCUAUUUUGCUUUAUGUCCUGUUUGAAUGUUAGAUGUCUUAUGUUGAGCUUUGGAGACUUGAAUUAUAUUAUGUUUGAAAUAUUUAUAGCAAUGAACUUUGAUGAUCAGUACAGAAUUUGUGUUUAAUUCUAUUCUGUGCAUUCUUCUAUGUUCUACUUUUCAUAUGUGUAGUGCUUGAAUUGUUAUAGCGUUUUGGGGAUGGCUGCUAUGCUACAUAAGCUCAAUAUCAAUAUAUAAUAGGCUAUGGGCUUAAAUUUGAACAGCACGAUUCAGUGAACUGAUCAAAAUAAUUUGCCGAAGUCUGUAAUUUUUUAAGAUGGGUGGCAAAUAAGAAACAAGAAGUAUGUAAAACUGGAUAUUUUAAACCUGGUUUUGUACAUAUUCGUAGGUUACAAAAACCAGUUACUAAGUUCACACCAGGCUUUGGAAAAAAAAAUAGUUUUUAAACUGAUUCCUAAAACCACCUGAUUUUAUAAGGAGUUUGGUUAUGGUUUAAAUCCAACUCAAUUUGGUUUGAUAUUGCUUUGGUGUAAGUAGAAGUCUGUCUUUGUGUAGUUUUGAUGAAAUAUAUGCCUUCACAAAAUGUUCUGUACUCAUUGAAGGAUUCGCCAAAACUUUGGUAUACAAAAGUAACAAAUUAAUAGUGACAUGAGAAUAGGAUUCAACUCAGCAAGCGGGGCAUUAUUUGUGUUGAAUACUAAAAGUUCAAAAGGAAUCAUCCAACAUAUAUGCAUUUCCUUUUCAACUUACACCGUGAGUCAUAAUUCAUAAGUGAACUUUGAUCAAAUCCCUUCCACCAUAAAGUUAUUCUAACUUUCCCAAAUCAGUGUCUAUCAAUGACCUAAUAACUUUAAACACAAGUAAUUACAUCCACAACUCUAAGAAUCUAGUAUAAAGGACACAAACUUUUAGUUUAAAAGCUCUUGGAAUAAGAACAAAUCUUUAUUCAGAUUCCACUACUUUUCCUCUACAAAUCAUAUCUAGAGCCUUCCAAGAGUAGGAGACUUAUGAAAUCUAUAUAAACAAGUCAUAAUAUAGUUGUCCUCAUAAUACAAAUUCAUACUAAAGCCAAAUUGUAUCAAAAGUCCUUAGAAAAUUAAAAUACCAUGUCAAAAUUGAGUUUUCUAAAGCUUCAUGGUAGCUUUUCAGCCAAGCCAAUAUCUCCGCGAAAAAAUAUAGCCGAACAGAACAGCUUCAAGUUGAGAGAGACAUCGAAUGCUGAAAUGAGUUUCCAACCAAAGAAAGAUGAAAUGAAAUGGGUGUUUGAGAAAUUCGACAAAAACAAAGAUGGCAAGAUUAGUCUGGAAGAGUAUAAAGCAGCUGCAAAAGCUUUGGAUAAGGGGAUUAUUUGUGACAAUGAUGCAGUGAAAGCAUUUAAA
rnacentral:lncRNA from 1 species